rnacentral:rRNA from 1 species
CGCCAGUUUUGGCGGAGCCAUCCUUGGGAUACCACCCUUGUAGUACUGGGACUCUAACCAUAGGCCAUGAAUCUGGUCUUGGGAAACUGUCAGGUGGGCAGUUUGACUGGGGCGGUCGCCUCCCAAAAGGUAACGGAGGCGCUAAAAGGUUCUCUCAGUACGGUCGGAAAUCGUACGUAGAGUGUAAAGGCAAAAGAGAGCUUGAUUGCAAGACAUACAGGUCGAGCAAGGAUGAAAAUCGGACUUAGUGAUCCGGUGGUUCUGCGUGGAA